CAAGUGAGAGCCAUUCUAAGAAACUUGAACAGUCAGAUUCAUAGUAAACACCUAGAAUUGAAAGUACAAAAAGUGUCAGCAGAAAAAGCAGGUCAUAGGUUCUCACAUUUAUUUUCCUCCUGAAUGACCCAUCGACACAAUGUGAAGAAAGAGUGUGGCUCCCAGUCAUGAGAUUUGCCACUGAUAAUAGAGGGGAGCAAUAACUUCUGAUUAGUUUGGAGAUCUUCCACCAAUAUGCCCAGUGGAUUCUCCCACCAGGGCCAGGUAACCUUCCUCACCAGAGGUGAGCAUCUUGGGAAAAAGUACAUCCUGUCUUUGCCCCCAGAGGUGACUUCAAAGAGCCAUGAGUGAUGAAAGACAGAUACCAACAAAUGAAAUUAGACUCUCUCUGACUAUCCUCAGAUCAGAAACUCUUGAGACAUGCAGCAUUUUGGGAGGACCAAGUAGGAGCCAGACAUGGAGAGAGAAGAGAGAGUGAAAGGAAGUAGCAUCAACAGCAGAACUAACUUAAACCUAAGAAUCAACUGACAAGAGAUUGAGCUGAUUAUUCAUCACCCUCAGGAACCUCAUUUAACCUUUCUGAGCUUCAUUGUAUUAACUUAAGCUCUUCAACACAGCUACCUUUUGGGUUAUAUGCUCACCCUUAAACCAAUUACUGGUAAAUGUAAUGGAAUUACUACACUUCGUUUUUGGACUUUUUUUUUUUUUUUUUUUGAGACUGAGUCUCACUCUGUCGCCCAGGCUGGAGUGCAGUGGCACGAUCUCGGCUCUCUGCAGCAUCCGCCUCCUGGGUUCACGCCAUUCUCCUGCCUCAGCCUCCCGAGUAGCUGGGACUACAGGCGCCCGCCACCAUGACCGGCUAAUUUUUUGUAUUUAGUAGAGACAGGGUUUCACCAUGUUAGCCAGGAUGUUCUCGAUCUCCUGACCUCGUGAUCCGCCCGCCUCAGCCUUCCAAAGGGCUGGGAUUACAGGCGUGAGCCACCUCACCCAGCCUUUUUUUUUUUCACUCUCUCUCCCAGUCUGGAGUGCAAUGGUGCCGUCUUGACUCACCGCAACUUCCGACUCCCGGGUUCAAGCGAUUCUUCUGCCUCAGCGUCCCGAGCAGCUGGGAUUACAGGCGCCCACCACCACGCCCGGCUAAUUUUUGUAUUUUCAGUAGAGACAAGGUUUCACCACGUUGGCCAGGCUGGUCUCGACCUCAGAUGAUCCACCUGCUUCAGCCUCCCAAAGUGCUGGGAUUGCAGGCAUGAGCCACCGCGACCAGCCUACACUUGAGAUAGAACUUGAGAUAGGCUGGGCACAGUGGCUCACACUUGUAAACUCAGCACUUUGGGAGGCCGAGGUCAGAGGAUUGCUUGAGCACAGGAGUUUGAAACCAGCCUGGGCAACACAGUGAGACCUCAUCUCUACAAAUAAUCAUAAUAAUAAUUUUUUACAAAAGCCGCAUGUGGUUGCAUACACCUGUGGUCCCAGCUUAUUUGGGACACUGAGGUAGGAUUGUUUGAGCUCAGGCGAUCAAAGUUGCAGUUAGCUGUGAUCAUACCACUGUACUCCAGCCUGGGUAAUACAGUGAGACCUGGUCCAAAAAAAAAAAAAAAAAAAAAAAAAGGAACUUAGAAUAGUGUUAGCUUCCCUGAGGGGUGGGUAGUUGAAUACAAGUUAAAUUAUUUUGAUAAACUGGGAUAGAAAAAUGAAUAUUGGGAUUAGCAAGCAAUAGUGACUGCUCUAGAAGUGAAAUGUCUUUAUUAAAAUGGGAUUUUUGAGGUUUUCCUGAUGAACUUGCUUCUAAGAUGUGGUCUGCAAUCUGAAACAUUAUCUCUUUUUUUCCCUGCAAUAACACUUGAAUCUUGACACCGUGCUUUGGAGGUGUUGGAUUUAAUCUCUCAUGAUUAUUCUUAAUGGAUAAAUUUCAAAAUCUUUACUUUUUCUCCUCUACAAUUAUAAAAGGCAAAAGAAGUAUCAUUCAACCUAGAGAAAAGACCUACAUUUCAUUAAGUUGGAAACUAAAACUGCACAUUAACAAUCUCAAAACUCCGUAAUUUUAGAGAAACAAGUGAUCAUAGGUGCUAUCAUGCUAUGCAGACAUCUUAGGUGUGAAUUUUCAUAGCAGGUGAAUUUGGGACUUGGGGAAUCUCUGCUAUGGUUCUUGUAUGACCAUGGUCAGUGGUAAAAGUUAACAACAGUCUACCACUGCAUUGCACAGGCAAGACCACAAAGGCCUUGGAUUCUGAACAACCAGGGGUUUGUCUCACACCAUUAUACUAAGAGUUAUAGCCAACUGGGGUUCUGGGUGAAAGCCAAAGACUAUAAGAAUAUGCCACAGAGAAAAUAAGAGACAAACAACAACAACAACAACAAAAAAACUGCUAAACUGUUGUGAAGUAGAAAAAGGACUUCAGAUUUCAUCUGUGCCUGGUUAUUACUGCCAUUGUUCAUAAGUGUUUGCAUGUGUUCUAAUUAUCCUCUCUUCACUAACUGUAUUGGUAACUCAAUUUACUAUGUAGUCCAUAGCUUAUAGAUGAUCUGGUAACAUCUGGGUGGAAUUAUGAUGGAAUUAGAGGAAAAAUAUACAACAUAUGGAGACUGUGGAUUCCAAGACAAACAGCAUUUAAAGGAGCCUGUGAUAUUCUCUGUGGAUAUAGUAACCAGAGAUGCCUUUGAAUUCCAUCCUUAUUGGAAGGCAAUAAUUGUGUGUAGGUUUGAUCAUUUUAGAUAGGCACAUCCUUGAAACUAUGCAUAUAGAAAGAUAGCAACCAAUGACACAAAGGGCACUGUAUCUACAUUAAUACUUGAGGAAGGAUAGGUGAGUUAGACAGCUGGGAGAGCUAAACAGCGGAUGCAAACUGGGGUUGUUGUAGGCAAAUUAGCACCUUUGGUCAGCCAAGCUAUACCCAAUAUCUGUUUCUUUGUGAACCUGCAUUAUCCACAAACCAAUGCUUAUGAAAUAAGUAGUGAAGUAUCCUAUAGGCAGAGUUGGCCACUGAUUAGAUCAGGAUCAGAUGCUUUUGUUAUUGAAAGGUAACCAAGCCAUACUUUCCAUGAUGAACAAUAACAUGUUCAGCCAUAAAUGACUCUACUCAGUAAAGUUAAUAGUAAUUAAAUAAGCCAACCAAACUAGCUUCUUCUGCAAUUUGGACUGAAAAUAUGGAGAAUUUUGAAUAGACAGGAAAUAAGCAUAAAUACAAAUGAAGGCACAAUGGGAAAAUUUAUUUGCCUACCUCACUCGAGGGAUGGGAAUUGUGUUGGAGAUAGGAUCAAGAAUGGGCUGAUAAUUAUGACUUCUCUUAAGUGGCCUCCCUGAUAAAUAAGAACAAAGAAAUGCAGUGAGUUCAUAUUUUAAUGGGACCAAAUAAAAAAAAUUCUACAAACAACCUCCUGGAUAAAAAUGGUGGCAUUAAAAUAGCUGCAUUAAUUUGGAUAUAUCAAAAUGCCCUGAGUGAUACUUUAUUCUACAGUUUAGCAAGAGACUCCUUGGGAUAAGUAACUCAAUCCAGGAUGAGAUACAGAAUAUUGAUGAGAUAUUGACACCACAUUUAGAAAAUACAUGUAUUUAUGUAUCUCUGUUUGUAUGUUUAUGUGCAUAUAUACACUAAUUCUUUUAGCAAGUAGAUAUGGAGAGAAUAUUACUUGCUUUCAUAGCAUGCUUCCAGGAGUUUCAGAGAAUACGCCUCUGAAGAAAGAGAAAUUAUGUCCUCUGACCUCUUUUCUUAGGGCUGUUUGGAAAGAGAGCACACACAUCAUAAAGAAGAGUUCAAGGUAAACCUAGACAAGUGAGUGGAUUUGAAGCCAUCAUAUCAUACAAUCAGAGAAUCUUAGGUUUUGAAUGAAAUGUGAAGAUAUAUUUCAAAUGAAUAAUUGGAAGAGUGAAUGAAAGAACUAAUGAAUCUAAUAGAAACCCUACUGAUUGCCUACAUACAAUGAUUGCCAUGAAUUGUUAUUUACUUUUCUAUGUAUACUAAUUAACACAUCUGCACCAUUCUCUCAGUGUGUGCAUAUCUUGUGUAUAGGAGGUAGUUAAGAAGUUCUCAGUAUAACUUUAUUAAAUUUACACCCUCAGAAAAUGUCUGCCAAAUGGGGAGAAAUGUGUAUUCAUUUUGCUUUCACCAACGAGCUAGUAAAGACUUGCUGAAUGUUUCAUGAAUGAUAAAAGUGCAAGAUAAUAUAGGAUAAAAUGUAUACCAGGCAUAAACACUAAAGGUGAAAAAGAUCUGUAAAUUUAGAAAAACAUCAUCUGUACAAUAAGCAUCUUUUAGAGAGUCAUGAUGUCUCAUGGAGAGCUAUCUUUCUGGUUGAUAUAGUCCUAGUACAGACAAAAAAUUGUAUUUUCACAAAAUAAAAUGUGCA
rnacentral:lncRNA from 10 species